GACGAACGCUGGCGGCGUGCUUAACACAUGCAAGUCGAACGGAAAGGCCCUGCUUUUGUGGGGUGCUCGAGUGGCGAACGGGUGAGUAACACGUGAGUAACCUGCCCUUGACUUUGGGAUAACUUCAGGAAACUGGGGCUAAUACCGGAUAGGAGCUCCUGCUGCAUGGUGGGGGUUGGAAAGUUUCGGCGGUUGGGGAUGGACUCGCGGCUUAUCAGCUUGUUGGUGGGGUAGUGGCUUACCAAGGCUUUGACGGGUAGCCGGCCUGAGAGGGUGACCGGCCACAUUGGGACUGAGAUACGGCCCAGACUCCUACGGGAGGCAGCAGUGGGGAAGAUUGCACAAUGGGCGGAAGCCUGAUGCAGCAACGCCGCGUGCGGGAUGACGGCCUUCGGGUUGUAAACCGCUUGCGCCUGUGACGAAGCGUGAGUGACGGUAAUGGGUAAAGAAGCACCGGCUAACUACGUG
rnacentral:rRNA from 1 species